rnacentral:rRNA from 1 species
GUCCUAGCCGUAAACGAUGGACACUAGGUGUUGGUGGUAUCAACCCCGCCAGUGCCGAAGCUAACGCAUUAAGUGUCCCGCCUGGGGAGUACGGCCGCAAGGCUAAAAACUCAAAGGAAUUGACGGGGGCCCGCACAAGCAGCGGAGCGUGGGGGUUUAAUUCGACGCAACGCGAAGAACCUUACCAGGACUUGACAUGACCAGGACAGCGGCGGAAACGUCGUCUCCCCGCAAGGGGCCUGGCCACAGGUGUUGCAUGGCUGUCGU